CUCGUAGUUGGAUUUGUGGUGUGUCCAGUUGGCCUUUGCUCUUUGAGUGAUAGUGCUUUACUGGUCUGCCAUGUUUGGGUGGAAUCUGUGUGGCAUUAAGUUGUCGUGCAGGGGAUGCCCAUCGUUUACUGUGAAAAAAUUAGAGUGUUCAAAGCAGGCUUAUGCCUCUGAAUAUAUUAGCAUGGAAUAAUGAUAUAGGACCUUGGUACUAUUUUGUUGGUUUGCGCACUGAGGUAAUGAUUAAGAGGGACAGUUGGGGGUAUUUGUAUUCCAUUGUCAGAGGUGAAAUUCUUGGAUUUUUGGAAGACAAACUACUGCGAAAGCAUUUACCAAGGAUGUUUUCAUUAAUCAAGAACGAAAGUUAGGGGAUCGAAGAUGAUUAGAUACCAUCGUAGUCUUAACCAUAAACUAUGCCGACAAGGGAUUGGUGGAGUUUCGUUUCGUCUCCAUCAGCACCUUGUGAGAAAUCAUAAGUCUUUGGGUUCCGGGGGGAGUAUGG
rnacentral:rRNA from 1 species